GCACAGUCCGUAGCCAGUAUCAGCCGGAUGUUCUAUGAAGCUGGGAAGCGCAGCAGCUUGUCCCGGCUUUAGUUCAGCAGGCUGGAUAGGGUUCAGCACCACUACAGGCUGGACAGCUCCCAGCAGCCGCCGCAAGGAAAUCCUGGCAGGUGUCAGAACCUUCCUGGCUGCUUCGCUCCUGCCUUCACAUUCCUCGAAGACAUUGUUAGGGUUUGCCAAGCUGCCUGCCCUCCUUUUUCUCUCUGUUGGAUUAAAGCUUCACCCUGAAUUGGCAUCACCAUGAACAAGCGCCAUUGCACCGCAGAGCAAACUGCUGGCAGCAGUACAGGAGGCAACCAAAGGGAGAAACCAAGGCUGCUCGUGGAUGGUGAACAUUGUGUGGAUUACAACCAGACUUCUGGAAUUGUGCAGGAGGUUCAGCAUAAUUUGCUGCAAGAGUCACCAAGCUUUGUGCGAGACAAAUUGCCUUCAUCUAAUUUCUGCCACCAACCAACUUUGGAAAGAUCCAAUGGAGAGGUGGCGUCUCACUCAGGGGACAUACACCAGAAUCCGAAGUGUUGCCAAUGUAACCAUCAAGAGUGCAAAACAAACUACCUUACCCCUCAACUGCCAGGCCAUGAAGAGAGAGGAACACUGCGUUCCCAGCACUCCGGCGGAAGUGUUCCAUCUGAAACUUUCCAUCAAACUACAGAAUGUCUAUGGAAGCCCUGGGCUAGCGAGCAGAGAACUGGUCAGCCAACGCAGCACCAUGUUGUCUCUGUCAGCGACAGCAAAUGCCUGAGGAUGCCACAAAGUUAUUCUCAGCUGAUCACUGAAUGGCCACUACCAGUCUUGGCAAUCUGUUUGCUUCUAAUAGUCAUAUGUACUCUGGCUGGGCUCCUGGUCGGACAAAUGCCAGACUUCUCAGAACCUCUGAUGGGAUUUGAACCCAGAGGUACAGAAAUCGGGAGAAAGUUAAUAACCUGGAGGAACAUGCAGAUCAACACUGGAUAUAAAAAAGCACUGUCUGUCUAUCCUCAUAGUGAGAAAAUCAGCCUGGAUGAAACGGACCUCAACCGAGGAAAUGAAAAACUGAUUCAAGGCAGAAAAGAUCAAACUAGGAACCGCCGCAUGGUUGAACAAGAAGAUGGAGUAGAUGGAUUUUUCUGUGGUCCUCCAGAAAAGAGCUAUUCGCAACUCGUGUUCAUGUCUAAAACAGCAGGGAGUUUGUGGAAUCUGCAGGCAAUCCAAUCCAUGUGUCGCAUGGAAAAUGAAAAGAUCCGUUCCCACCCCAGCUUCACAGAAUUUUGUGAGCGUGGCCAUACAAAAGAAUGCUGUCCCAGCUGGUCUCUUGGCAACUACAUUGCAGUCCUUUACAAUCGAUCAUCAUGCAUGGAAAUCACACAGUCUGAUAUUUCUCAUACGCUGACUCUUCUACGCUCCUGUGCACCAGACUACCAUAGAGGCACUCUUACCCAUUCAUGCAUAGGCCCCAGGUCAGAGAGAUUGAAGCACUCACAUUGUGCCAAAGUGCCAGAAAAAUGUGUUCGAUCCAGUGCAGUUUAUCAGUUGCUUCACUUUCUGCUCGACAGAGACUUUUUGAGUCCCCAAACAACAGGUUAUCAAGUUCCAUCAUUAAAGUACAGCUUGUUAUUUUUGCCAGCCAAAAAGGGGUCAUCCAUGAUGAACAUAUACUUAGACAAUCUGGAGUCCUGGGAUCUCUUUGAUAACUACACAGCCAUUACGGGAAUGGACUUGGGGCUAAAGCAGAAACUUUUUCAACACUAUCUUGUCUUAGAUACUGUGUAUCCUGUUUUGGCGAUAAUAGCUAUUUUUCUAAGCAUUUAUUUUUACCUGCGUUCUGUUUUCAUAACCUUUAUGAUCAUGAUAUCUGUGAUUGGCUCCCUAUUGAUCUCGUUUUUCUUAUACAAGCUGAUUUUCAGACUGACUUUUUUCCCCUUUGUUAACUUGAUGGCAGUUAUCCUUCUCAGCAGCAUCUGUGCCAACCAUGCCUUUGUUUUCUUUGAUCUAUGGAACCUUAGCAAAAUUCAGCACUCUGCGGCUGGGCUAAUGCAGUGGGUGAGCCAUACUAUGCAUCACUUUGGAUAUCUUAUGAUAGUGUCUUGCUUUACCAUGGCAGCUGCAUUUUAUGCCACAUAUAUGAGCAGCAUCACCUCUGUACGUUGCUUUUCUAUCUAUAUGGGUUCUUCGGUGUUGGUGAAUAUGAUAUUCAUGAUAACCUGGCUCCCUGCCACCAUUGUUGUAUAUGAACGGUACAUAGCGGUAAACUGCUCUUAUAAAUCUGAAGAAUUUUGGAACAGCAGCACACAUAAAAGACACUUGCUUUCCUUCUGCCAAAAGUUGAAAGGUCUCCAGAGCACCUUAUCUGAAACCUCAAAACUUCUCUUUGAGAAGCUCCUUCCCUGCGGGGUAAUAAAGUUUCGAUACAUCUGGAUUUGUUGGUUUGCAGCCCUAGCUGCAGGUGGUGCAUAUAUUGCUUGCAUGAGUCCAAAACUGAGUUUACCCUCUUCUGAGAUAUCAUCUCUUCAAGUUUUUCGACUCAGCCAUCCCUUUGAGAGGUAUGAUGCCGAAUACUGCCACCAGUUUAUGUUUGAUCGUUCAGAGCAUGGUGAAGGACAACACAUGCCUAUUACUCUAAUUUGGGGCAUUAAACCACUUGAUAACAGUGACCAUCUUAAUCCAAAAGCCAACGGAACACUGGUUACAGAUGCUACAUUUACUAUUAGAAAUGCUGGGGAUCAGAAUUGGCUCAUGGAAUUGUGCCAUAAGGUGAAAAACCAAAGCUUUUAUUACUCCGACCAAGACAGGAAACCAAACAUCUGCUUCAUGGAAGACUUCCACAGGUGGAUGGAAAGCCGACAGUGUUCACAAACAGACCAAAACCUUAACCUUUGUUGCAAUCAUGUUACAUUUCCCUAUAGGAGUGACAUACUUCUUCACUGUAUAAAAAUGAUGGUGAGAGAACAAGGGGAUGAUGGAACAGAAACGUAUGAUAUUGGUCCCAGAUUUGAUGCAGAUGGUAACCUAACAGCCUUGGUUUUGGAAUUUCAGACUGUGUAUCAUUAUAGCUUCAACUACAGCAAAACCAAGACAUUUUACAACACUUUAAACCAGUGGCUGAUGAAUGAAGUGAAGAAUGCCCCCUUAGGUCUACAGAAUGGGUGGUUUACAAGCAAACUUUCACUUUAUAAUCUUCAGCACACCCUAAGUACUGAACUUAUGGUGGUAACCAGCUUUUCCAUUGCAAUUUCCUUUGUGGUUCUUCUGCUUACUACAUGGAAUGUCUUCCUUAGUCUCUUUGGUGUAACUGCAAUCGGAGGAUCUGUUUUGGUCACAACUGGACUUUUGGUUCUGUUAGAAUGGCAGCUGAAUGUAAUAGAAUCUCUACUUAUUUCAGCAGCUGUUGGUCUUUCUGUUGACUUUACAGUCAAUUACUGUAUUUCAUACCACCUUUGCCCACAUCCAGACCGCCUAAGCAGAGUAGCAUUUUCUUUAAAACAAAUGAGUUGUGCCACAGCUAUGGGGGCUUCCACUAUGUUUUCUGCUGGGAUAAUAAUGCUGCCUGCUACUGUCCUGGCCUACAGGAAACUGGGCAUUUUUAUAAUAAUGAUAAAAUGCAUAAGCUGUGGAUUUGCCACUUUCUUUUUCCAGUCACUGUGCUGUUUUUUCGGACCAGAGAUGAACUGUGGACAGAUAAUAUGGCCCUGUGCCAAUGCGUUUAAAGAAUAUCCAAAUGACUCAAGAUUAAAUGGUACUUUUGUUUGUAGUGGAAAAGAGAAGCAUAACAGAAUACGGAAAAUGCAAGAUUCCAACACGGACAAUGAACAAUAUGAGCUUCAGCCUUUAGCUAGGAACCUCAGUGACAGUUUUGAUAACAGCACAUGCACUAGUAAACUCUCCAAACGACCAUCUAUGGUGUCUGAGGAUAUCCAAAUCUCAGAAUAUAAAUACCCCAAGCUUGGAAGCCACCACACUCAGAAUGCAGAAUCCGAAGCGUUAGAGGCCAACACCAUUACCCACCAAGCAGUAUUUAGUGAUUGCCCAGCUUUGCAAACCUCAUCCCCAUACAGACAGAGUAGCUUUGACAAUGAGACAGAAGCACAAGAAGGAUCUUGCAGAAGCUGCAUCUGCCAAAAUAUGAACAGCAAGAACUGGAAUGGUUCAGUAGUUGACCAUAACCAAGAAGGCAAUAUGCACUGUCCAAUACAGCCAAACAGUGAAAUACAGACAGUGCUCUAUUCUGAAAAUAAAAGCAUUCAAAUGUACGAAUAUUCCAGGUGCCUUUGUUCUAUGGGUAGCUCGUUUGAUGUCCUUGAUUCAAAUGAAACAUGUCUUAGUGAGCUUGAGCAGAGUUCAAAGUUGGCCGAAACAACGAGCUGCUCUCCUGAUUUUCUUGAUGUCCCCAAUUCCCCAUGCCAUGAUGAAAGGGGUCACUUGAAUGGCAAAAGAGAAACACUAAGACUGGCUCUUAAGGAAACGGUGUUUGAUUCAGCUUCUUCAAGACAGGCCUGCACGUCAUGGAAAGUCCAAUCAAGGCAAGGCAGUGAAAACUCUGUUGUUCUACCAAACAGUAAACCAGAUAUGCCUGACGUCUGGAUAAAGAGGCCAAAUGAAUAUAAUUCUGGCUAUAUUAGCUGAACUUUUGCCUUGAGAAAUGUCUGAAGGUUUUUUUUUUUUUGUUUUGUGUUUUUUUUUACAUAAACUGGAACUUAAUCUCAGUUUUAUUUUGCAUAAAUCUGGUUUUACUCAUAUGAAACAGCAAAAUUGUAUAGCAGGAGGAUGAUGCAAAUACUUUAUUCAUUUGUUUAAUUUUUGUAGCUAAUACUAUAUUUAGAUAUUUGUGGCUAGAUACCUCUUUAAACAUUUAGCAGAUUUUAAUUAUGUGUAAGCAAAUAUAUGUUUAAGUCAUAAUCACGUGUGUAAUACAUAACAGCAUUAUUUUUACUUAUGGAAAGACCUUUGUAGCAAUGUAUGAUCAAGACAGCUUUCAGAUGCAAAACCAAAUUGCUCAAAAGUCAAUACACGAAAAAGCACAUCUAGUCCAAUGAACCAUGGAAAUUAUUCUGAUCGUUAAUUUUGCAUAAAAAAAGUAAAAAAAACAGCAUGCUUGAAAAUAUGUCAGUAGCCACAUCCAUGUUCUGUUUUUGUUGUUUAAUGAGCACUGGCAAUUGUAAGUUCUCGUUAUUUCAUUUGAAAGCCGGCAUAACUAAAAUACAACUGAGAAUGUAGAAUUUAGUUAAAGGAUUUGGUAAAUCCAGUUGUCCACAUGUGUUAAAAGAGCUCACACUGCCCCAGCAACUUGGUCACCCCCAACAUAUUGUAUGUCCGUUCGACAUCAUCUUUUUAUGAACUUGGGGAAGUGCUGUAAUUAUCCUGGGAAUCUACUUCUAAUGGGGAAGAGUCAAGAAUGUAACGCUGACAUUUUUGGAUUUCCUAGUAAGUUUGAAGUGUUAAAUAUAUUGUAUUUUCACUUAGAUAAGAGUAGAGAACAAGUCAAGUAACUUGUAUAGAGGAUAAGUACAGGAGCAGCACAUCUGUACACAAAAUCUUAAAAAGAUAAGUUGCUAAGUGUGGGGGUCACCUGUAAAAUUUUAAACAGUAAAUUAUAGUAAAACAGGGCACAACUGUCGAAAAAGUUGCAUUUAUUAUGCAAUUAAUUGUGCAUAGUCCCACAAUUUGGCCUCUAGAUGCUUCCCACACUUAUAAGAUGACCCAGAAGUGGCAUAUUCAUUGUUUGGUUCAUUCAUUGGCAAUCUGGCCUUUCAUCUGUGUGGCCAAACCACAUACUCAGAAUGACACUAUUCAGCGUACAAGUGGAAUGAACAGACAGUAAAGGAACCAACCUCCUUUACGGAGAUGAGUAUCUUUAACUAUAAUAAAUCAGUCUUUGUUAUAAUAAGCCAUAGUUUUUUAAAAAUAAAAAUGCCUGUUAGUGUUAAGAUAUUAUUCUCGUUAAUAAAACAAUCACAAAUUGUAUGUGAUACAAGCAUUUAACACAAUUUCUUUUUUUUAAAGUGACAAUUAUUAUUUGAGUGAUGCGGUGUAUGAAUUUUAUGAUACUGUACAAUGUACAUGUUUUUGUGCGUACCCCCUAAUGUGUGACAAUGUUUGCACAUAAGGCCUUACUGUGCUGAAAAAAAAUUAUACAAUGGUAUACAUCCCAUCCCUAACAUUUUUGCCCAUACUGUCCCCAACGCAACUUUUUUCACUGAUUUCUAUGAGAAGCUAAAUUGGAAGAAAGGGUUUCCAUAAUCGAUCCAAUAUCGAUAAACAAUAUGCACUUCUGCAGCUAGGUACAAUCAUUAUUGCUCUUGAUAUCAUGGUGGUUACUAGCUGUCUCUUGUAUAUAAUUAACAGAAUAGAUCAACUUUGUUAGGCAAUGCUCUUUAAUGUCUUUUGUGACCAUUUUCCAGAAAUGUGGUUUCCUUGUCUGUUUUUAAAAUGCACUUUUAUCUGAAAUUGUCAAAUGUGCUAUCCUAAAAUUUAUUUUCAGAAAAAUAUAUAACCUGCCAGUUCUUCUGCCAUUUGGGAUAUACUAUGGAACUGAUUUAUGCAUCAUCAAUGGCCAUGUGUAGGUUAAAUGAUGCCAGAAAAUGUAAUUAAGGAACAGUAACACCAAGAAAAAAAGCAUUUAAACUGCUAUGUAGCCAUGGGGACAGCCAUUUAAGCUGAAAA